rnacentral:lncRNA from 10 species
GCCUGGACCACCAGGACUGGUGAGGGCAGCGACCCCGGCCCCUUCCCCAAUUUAGCCCUUCCUCUUACCUGGCCUAAAUAUUCUAGGCGCCAGGCCCAGAGGUGGGACGCGCCUCGGGGUCACGAGGCUUUUGGGGAGGCAGAUCGGGGCUUUGGGUCGCGGGUCAGGGCAGCUUUGCCAACCUUCACUCGUGGGCUCCCGCUGGACCUUCGCUGUCCGUCUGGGUGCGCCUAACAUUAGUAAUGUUGCUGCUCGGCGGGCACGGUCUCUAUGGAGACAGAACUUACUCGUCCUCUCCCACCCCCACCCCGUUACUCUGGCGAUGGCCGACUCCUUCAUUCCGCACAACUCUCUCAUCUUGAGUCGCCCGUGACUGCUUGUGAAUGUGCCCCCAGAGAUAGGGCCUGAGCUGACAAAACUGGGCUUCAGACGGACUCCGGACGUGCUUCUGAAUCUCACAGACCCCAGAAGCGCCCUUCGCCUUCGGUUCAGCAACGGGCCUUCUCCCGGGUUGUCCCCCACUUGAAGAGGAGCUUCACCACGUUCCCCCCCGUUUCCCGAGUGAAAUCUCUGUGUUGUCAGGAGGGAGCGCUUCCCUGGAGCAUUCGCCUCUUCAGGGACCCUUGCUUUCCCUGAGCAUUUCGUGAUUCCUUCGGUGAGGCCCCCGUGGGAAUUGGGGUUCCUGAAGUAUGGAGUCCACUGGGCGCCUAGAGAGCGUUUCUCUCUGAAGGUCCUAAGCGCGCGCGUGCGGCACCCGCUCAGCUCAUCCGCGGCUCUGCAGCUGGGUAGCUUCCCUUCCCCGUGUGCCCGGAUGGCUGGAGGACAUAGGGAUCCAAAAAGGGCUGGCUUUUUCUCCUUUUCUGUUGACUUUGUGGACACAACAUCAUUAUUGAAACCAUUCCUAUAGACUUUAUUAAUCAGGGAAGAAGGGAGGCGAGAAAGGAAAACAAACCCAGCUUGCAGCUCGCUCAGCAUUCAUUGUGAGGUCCUGCACACCCAUGAAGCGACUGACCCAGCUGGUCUGAAGCACCCCACGAGGAGGUACCUCAGAACCCAGGCCAGAUCCACACAAGGCUCUCGGUCAGUCCCAGAUGGAAGCUCCAGUCCCAGGCCGUGACAUGCAUCAGCUCCCACACCCAGGAUUGUCCCAGAGAAAGCGCUCUGCCCUCCCCGUCCACAGCACCACGAGGGCCAUAACUGCACUGCCACACCUCUCCAGUUCCAGAGACAUCCCUGAGAGGCAGCCAUCAGGGGUGCCCAGCUGAGGACACGCCUCCUUGGGGACCCUCAUUCCUGAGUCCAUGCCUCCAGAUUCACGAUCUCAGAGACAACCACAUCCGCAACUGGCACGUGUCCCCACCGAAGGGGCUCAAGUAAGUGACUGGAGUGACCAGGGUGGAUGGGCCUGGAGUACCUGGGUCUAUAGCCCACGCCCGGAGCAGGAAAUGGGGGAGACCUGGGGUACCUGGGUCUGUAGCCCACACCCAGAGCAGGAAAUAGGGGAGACCUGGGGUACCUGAGUCUGUAGCCCACAUCCAGAGCAGGAGAGAGGGGAGACCUGGAGUACCUGUACCUGUACCUCAGCUACAGUAUCUGAGUCUGUAGCCCACAUCUGAAGCAGGAGAGAGGAGAGGGCCAUUUUGGAGUCCACCAGGUAGCCCCAGUAGGACAGGGAGAGGCUGUGUAUGAGAUGGGAUGGGUGGUGGGCCAUGGCUGUGACACUGGAGGGGACAGGGCGGGGAUACCUUCUCAGACUAUGACACUCAGAGGCAAGGUAGGAUCUCGGCCCACACAACAGCACACGGAUGGUGCCCUUAUGGGAGAGAGCGGGGCCAUGCAUGGGGCCUGUGACAGCUUGGGAGGUGGGGGCCAGGGGAGUUUGGUUUCCUGGGUUACGGAAUGCUGGGUGUGUGUGAAGUAGGAGGCACCAGCCACACUGUUUCACCAGGGGCUGUGAUCUGGGCCCCACCCUUGUGACUCUGGGGCUUCUGGAUGAUGACCUCUCCCCAGACCUCACCCAUGAUUUCCCCGUGGAUUGGUUAAAAAUUCAAUGCAAGGUCCAGGUCAAUAAUGCACCCAAAAUAAAGCUGAAAGUUACAACCGCAUGCAACAAAACUUAUUGUGACUUAGCCCCGGCGCAGUGGCUCACGCCUGUAAUCCCAGCACUUUGGGAGGCCGAGGCAGGUGGAUCACAUGAGGUCAGGAGUUCGAGACCAGCCUGGCCAACAUGGUGAAACCCCGUCUCUACUGAAAAUACAAAAAUUAGCAGGAUGUGAUGGCAGGCGCUUGUAAUCUCAGCUACUCAGGAGGCUGAGGCAGGAGAAUCACUUGAACCCAGGAGGCAGAGGUUGCAGUGAGCUGAGAUUGUAUCACUGCACUCCAGCCUGGGUG